UACAGAGGGUGCGAGCGUUAAUCGGAAUUACUGGGCGUAAAGCGCACGUAGGCGGCUUGGUAUGUCGGGUGUGAAAUCCCCGGGCUCAACCUGGGAACUGCAUCCGAAACUGCCUUGCUCGAGUAUGGGAGAGGGAAGUGGAAUUUCCGGUGUAGCGGUGAAAUGCGUAGAUAUCGGAAGGAACAUCAGUGGCGAAGGCGGCGACCUGGGCCAAUACUGACGCUGAGGUGCGAAAGCGUGGGGAGCAAACAGG
rnacentral:rRNA from 1 species